AUUGGGAAAUGACGAUUAAUUCAUCUCAGAUGUCCUUAAUGGGCUUUUCAGAAUGAUGAAAAAUUGCACGUCAGUCUGAUCCCACA